rnacentral:rRNA from 1 species
CACGUAGGGCGCAAGCGUUGUCCGGAAUUAUUGGGCGUAAAGAGCUCGUAGGUGGUUUGCUGCGUCCGCUGUGAAAACCCAAGGCUUAACCUUGGGCUUGCAGUGGAUACGGGCAGACUAGAGGUAGGUAGGGGAGAAUGGAAUUCCUGGUGUAGCGGUGAAAUGCGUAGAUAUCAGGAGGAACACCGGUGGUGUAAACGGCUUUCUGGACCAUAACUGACGCUGAGGCACGAAAGCGUGGGUAGCAAACAGG